rnacentral:snoRNA from 1 species
AUGAAGUGAUUGUUUCACCCCUUUAUAGGUCCGUGUUUCUGACUCACUUUAAUAGGACUGAAACUCGUGAUUGU